GUGUCCUACGGGGGGCAGCAGUAGGGAAUCUUCCACAAUGGGCGAAAGCCUGAUGGAGCAACGCCGCGUGGGUGAAGAAGGUCUUCGGAUCGUAAAACCCUGUUGUUAGAGAAGAAAGUGCGUGAGAGUAACUGUUCACGUGACGACGGGAUCUAACCAGAAAGACACGGCCAACAACGUGCCAGCAGCCGCGGAAAUACGUAGGUGGCAAGCGUGAACCGGAUGGAUGGGGCGUAAAGGGAACGCAGGCGGUCUUUUAAGUCUGAUGUGAAAGCCUUCGGCUUAACCGGAGUAGUGCAUUGGAA
rnacentral:rRNA from 1 species